rnacentral:rRNA from 1 species
UUAAGCGACUAAGCGUACACGGUGGAUGCCCUGGCAGUCAGAGGCGAUGAAGGACGUGCUAAUCUGCGAUAAGCGUCGGUAAGGUGAUAUGAACCGUUAUAACCGGCGAUUUCCGAAUGGGGAAACCCAGUGUGUUUCGACACACUAUCAUUAACUGAAUCCAUAGGUUAAUGAGGCGAACCGGGGGAACUGAAACAUCUAAGUACCCCGAGGAAAAGAAAUCAACCGAGAUUCCCCCAGUAGCGGCGAGCGAACGGGGAGCAGCCCAGAGCCUGAAUCAGUGUGUGUGUUAGUGGAAGCGUCUGGAAAGGCGCGCGAUACAGGGUGACAGCCCCGUACACAAAAAUGCACAUAUUGUGAGCUCGAUGAGUAGGGCGGGACACGUGGUAUCCUGUCUGAAUAUGGGGGGACCAUCCUCCAAGGCUAAAUACUCCUGACUGACCGAUAGUGAACCAGUACCGUGAGGGAAAGGCGAAAAAGAACCCCGGCGAGGGGAGUGAAAAAGAACCUGAAACCGUGUACGUACAAGCAGUGGGAGCACGCUUAGGCGUGUGACUGCGUACCUUUUGUAUAAUGGGUCAGCGACUUAUAUUCUGUAGCAAGGUUAACCGAAUAGGGGAGCCGAAGGGAAACCGAGUCUUAACUGGGCGUUAAGUUGCAGGGUAUAGACCCGAAACCCGGUGAUCUAGCCAUGGGCAGGUUGAAGGUUGGGUAACACUAACUGGAGGACCGAACCGACUAAUGUUGAAAAAUUAGCGGAUGACUUGUGGCUGGGGGUGAAAGGCCAAUCAAACCGGGAGAUAGCUGGUUCUCCCCGAAAGCUAUUUAGGUAGCGCCUCGUGAAUUCAUCUCCGGGGGUAGAGCACUGUUUCGGCAAGGGGGUCAUCCCGACUUACCAACCCGAUGCAAACUGCGAAUACCGGAGAAUGUUAUCACGGGAGACACACGGCGGGUGCUAACGUCCGUCGUGAAGAGGGAAACAACCCAGACCGCCAGCUAAGGUCCCAAAGUCAUGGUUAAGUGGGAAACGAUGUGGGAAGGCCCAGACAGCCAGGAUGUUGGCUUAGAAGCAGCCAUCAUUUAAAGAAAGCGUAAUAGCUCACUGGUCGAGUCGGCCUGCGCGGAAGAUGUAACGGGGCUAAACCAUGCACCGAAGCUGCGGCAGCGACGCUUAUGCGUUGUUGGGUAGGGGAGCGUUCUGUAAGCCUGCGAGGGUGUGCUGUGAGGCAUGCUGGAGGUAUCAGAAGUGCGAAUGCUGACAUAAGUAACGAUAAAGCGGGUGAAAAGCCCGCUCGCCGGAAGACCAAGGGUUCCUGUCCAACGUUAAUCGGGGCAGGGUGAGUCGACCCCUAAGGCGAGGCCGAAAGGCGUAGUCGAUGGGAAACAGGUUAAUAUUCCUGUACUUGGUGUUACUGCGAAGGGGGGACGGAGAAGGCUAUGUUGGCCGGGCGACGGUUGUCCCGGUUUAAGCGUGUAGGCUGGUUUUCCAGGCAAAUCCGGAGAAUCAAGGCUGAGGCGUGAUGACGAGGCACUACGGUGCUGAAGCAACAAAUGCCCUGCUUCCAGGAAAAGCCUCUAAGCAUCAGGUAACAUCAAAUCGUACCCCAAACCGACACAGGUGGUCAGGUAGAGAAUACCAAGGCGCUUGAGAGAACUCGGGUGAAGGAACUAGGCAAAAUGGUGCCGUAACUUCGGGAGAAGGCACGCUGAUAUGUAGGUGAAGCGACUUGCUCGUGGAGCUGAAAUCAGUCGAAGAUACCAGCUGGCUGCAACUGUUUAUUAAAAACACAGCACUGUGCAAACACGAAAGUGGACGUAUACGGUGUGACGCCUGCCCGGUGCCGGAAGGUUAAUUGAUGGGGUCAGCGCAAGCGAAGCUCUUGAUCGAAGCCCCGGUAAACGGCGGCCGUAACUAUAACGGUCCUAAGGUAGCGAAAUUCCUUGUCGGGUAAGUUCCGACCUGCACGAAUGGCGUAAUGAUGGCCAGGCUGUCUCCACCCGAGACUCAGUGAAAUUGAACUCGCUGUGAAGAUGCAGCGUACCCGCGGCAAGACGGAAAGACCCCGUGAACCUUUACUAUAGCUUGACACUGAACAUUGAGCCUUGAUGUGUAGGAUAGGUGGGAGGCUUUGAAGUGUGGACGCCAGUCUGCAUGGAGCCGACCUUGAAAUACCACCCUUUAAUGUUUGAUGUUCUAACGUUGACCCGUAAUCCGGGUUGCGGACAGUGUCUGGUGGGUAGUUUGACUGGGGCGGUCUCCUCCUAAAGAGUAACGGAGGAGCACGAAGGUUGGCUAAUCCUGGUCGGACAUCAGGAGGUUAGUGCAAUGGCAUAAGCCAGCUUGACUGCGAGCGUGACGGCGCGAGCAGGUGCGAAAGCAGGUCAUAGUGAUCCGGUGGUUCUGAAUGGAAGGGCCAUCGCUCAACGGAUAAAAGGUACUCCGGGGAUAACAGGCUGAUACCGCCCAAGAGUUCAUAUCGACGGCGGUGUUUGGCACCUCGAUGUCGGCUCAUCACAUCCUGGGGCUGAAGUAGGUCCCAAGGGUAUGGCUGUUCGCCAUUUAAAGUGGUACGCGAGCUGGGUUUAGAACGUCGUGAGACAGUUCGGUCCCUAUCUGCCGUGGGCGCUGGAGAACUGAGGGGGGCUGCUCCUAGUACGAGAGGACCGGAGUGGACGCAUCACUGGUGUUCGGGUUGUCAUGCCAAUGGCACUGCCCGGUAGCUAAAUGCGGAAGAGAUAAGUGCUGAAAGCAUCUAAGCACGAAACUUGCCCCGAGAUGAGUUCUCCCUGACUCCUUGAGAGUCCUGAAGGAACGUUGAAGACGACGACGUUGAUAGGCCGGGUGUGUAAGCGCAGCGAUGCGUUGAGCUAACCGGUACUAAUGAACCGUGAGGCUUAACCUU